rnacentral:rRNA from 1 species
GUGAAACCGUUUAGGGGUAAACCUGAGAAACCCGAAAGAUCGAAUGAGGAGAUUCACCGUGAGCGGAGUCGGCUUCCAUGUGGUUCGCGAUGUUUGAGGCGGUACUUUAACGGUACUCGUCGACGACACGCGUCCGCUGUGGUAUGUUCGGCAACGUCGACGUGCACUUCUCCUCUAGUAGAACGUCGCGACCCGCUGGGUGUCGGUUUAAGGGCCGUUACGUAGACUGUACCGUCGCUUCGGCGUGCGUGUACAGACGUUCGGUUACCCGACCGGCUGCCCGGCGGUACGCACAAGGUAUCGAGCCGCACUCGAAUGCGUUCAGACCCGUCGCAAGCUUGACCAUUUUUAACCGGAUGCGCGGACCUAGCGCCGUCGCUGGUAAUGGUUGGCUGUUGGCAGGCGGUGUUCUCGAACUGGCUUAAUAAUUGAUACCGGUCAGCGACGCUAUUGCUUUGGGUACUUUCAGGACCCGUCUUGAAACACGGACCAAGGAGUCUAACAUGUGCGCGAGUCAUUGGGAAUUAUAAAACCUAAAGGCGCAUUGAAAGAGAAGAUCGGCUUUGGCCGAUCGAGGGAGGAUGGGCUGACGUUUAUAUGUCGCUCCGCACUCCCGGGGCGUCUCGUUGUCACCUUCACGGGCGACUUGAGGCGCACCAAGAGCGUACACGUUGGGACCCGAAAGAUGGUGAACUAUGCCUGGUCAGGAUGAAGUCAGGGGAAACCCUGAUGGAGGUCCGUAGCGAUUCUGACGUGCAAAUCGAUCGUCGGAACUGGGUAUAGGGGCGAAAGACUAAUCGAACCAUCUAGUAGCUGGUU